rnacentral:rRNA from 1 species
UGAAAUCGCUGAAGUGGAACCGGAGAGAGUUAACUUAACUUGGUAGCUAUAUUCUCUAGGGUCGCUUAACUGUGGCUCUGGGGGGUGGACGCUACCUGUUGUUGCACUGACUGCGUUGAUCGUGCUUUCCGAACAGUGUAGUGUUGCCCACUUUGUGGUGUCUUGCUCGCUGGGAGGUUUGUCAUGGUUAACGUAUAGCCUUAGUCCCGAGGGAGUCAGUGUGAAAGUUAACCACCUUUCCGACCCGUCUUGAAACACGGACCGAGGAGUGUUGGUUAUACGCGAGUCAAGGAGUGGUGAAAACUCUAGGGGCGGAAUGAAAGUAAAGACUAGUUAACUAGUUGACAUGGGAUCCGCUCUUCGGAGCGGCGCACCAUGGCCCUGUCUUGUCUGCUUGCAGAUGGGCAGCGGUAGAGCGUAUAGCUUGCGACCCGAAAGAUGGUGAACUAUGCUUGAGCAGGACGAAGCCAGAGGAAACUCUGGUGGAAGUCCGUAUCGGUUCUGACGUGCAAAUCGAUCGAUAGACUUGAGUAUAGGGGCGAAAGACUAAUCGAACUAUCU